rnacentral:rRNA from 1 species
CCUACGGGAGGCAGCAGUGGGGAAUCUUGGGCAAUGGGCGAAAGCCUGACCCAGCAACGCCGCGUGAAGGAAGGAGGCUUUCGGGUUGUAAACUUCUUUUGACAGGGAAGAGCAGAAGACAGUACCUGUCGAAUAAGCCACGGCUAACUACGUGCCAGCAGCCGCGGUAAUACGUAGGUGGCAAGCGUUGUCCGGAUUUACUGGGUGUAAAGGGCGUGUAGCCGGGCUGACAAGUCAGUUGUGAAAUACGGGGGCUCAACCCCCGAACGGCAUUUGAAACUGUUGGUCUUGAGUAUCGGAGAGGCAGGCGGAAUUCCUAGUGUAGCGGUGAAAUGCGUAGAUAUUAGGAGGAACACCAGUGGCGAAGGCGGCCUGCUGGACGACAACUGACGGUGAGGCGCGAAAGCGUGGGGAGCAAACAGGAUUAGAUACCCUUGUAGUC